ACUCCACCACUGUGAAUCCUGGCUACUGGGGCUAGUUCCUUGCUAGGAAAAAAAAACUCUAGAGAAAUGUGUUUGUGUGUGGUGGGUGGGCGGGGGCCCUGAGGAUGCAGGGACUGUGUCUGCUGUGUUGUCUGUUAUAAGAUGUUUCAGACCUAUUUUGCAUACUGGCAGCGACAAGUUGAGACUUGUUCAACUUGACACAGUCCUGUGGUCAUAGCGAAUCUUUCUAAAGCUCUGAUCAGUCAAGAAGGGGGUUGUAUCAAUCCUCAGAACCCUGAGUGGAACUUUCUACAGGAUUUAUUAGGAGAAAAACCUUCCCGGAAGCUGCAGAAGGACAAAUACAGAAUCCGUGUCUGGGAGAAACCUCGUGGCCUGGUCUCCAUUAUUUGAGAUGAGUUACAUCUUGGAGGUGAGGACGUGCCUCGUGGUCUAAAGCUUCGGCACAAGGGCCCAACUGGAAUUCCACUUACGGGCCUGAUCUUUUGGCCAGAAGGAGAUUAAAAAGAUGCCCCUCAAGAUGGCUGUGCCUGUCAGCUGCAUGGAGCUUCGUUCAAGUAUUUUCUGAGCCUGAUGGAUUUACAGUGAUCUUCAGUGGUCUGGGGAAUAACGCUGGUGGAACCAUGCACUGGAAUGACACACGCCCGGCACAUUUCAGGAUACUAAAAGUGGUUUUAAGGGAGGCUGUGGCUGAAUGCCUCAUGGAUUCUUACAGCUUGGAUGUCCAUGGGGGACGAAGGACUGCAGCUGGCUGAGAGGGUUGAGAUCUCUGUUUACUUAGAUCUCUGCCAACUUCCUUUGGGUCUCCCUAUGGAAUGUAAGACCCCGACUCUUCCUGGUGAAGCAUCUGAUGCACGUUCCAUCCGGCGCUCAGCUGGGCUUGAGAAUCCUGUUACACCUGGGAUUUAGGCACUUUCAAUCUGAAAAAAUACAUAUCCUUUCAGCACUCUGGACGGACUUGAGAACUGUCCUUACGUGACCUAAAGCUGGAGUAUUUUGAGAUUGGAGAAUUAAGGCCAACAGAGAUUUUGAGAAACACAUUGAAGGAUCUGUUAACACUUGAUAUACCCAAUAAAAGCAGUGGUUGUGCCAGUGCUGAUCUGUCUUGAUGUGAAUGUGAACAAUGGGAACCUGAGCUGAGCAGAAGGACAGAAUAACGGGCUCCCAGAUUCACAAGCCCCACCAAGAGGAUCACCCCAGGAACGCUUGGAGGCUGAGGAGUUCACUGAGGCUACUGCAUCUUGAGACUCAGGAUGAAGACCCAGCUUGGGGCUGUCAAAGGUUUUUUGCAUGUCUGACACCCAUGACUCCACCUGGACCUUAUGGCUCCACCCAGAAGCAAUUCAGCCCAACAGGAGGACAGCUUCAACCCAUUACGAUUUCAUCUCUGCCCCAACCACUCAGCAGCAAGCACCUGUUACCUGUCCACCCCCACCCCUUCCCCCAAACUGCCUUUGAAAAAUCCCUAACCUAUGAGCUUUGAAUAAGAUGAGUACGAACUUCAUCGCCCACGUGGCGUGGCCGGCCUCGUGUCUAUUAAAUUCUUUUUCUACUACAA
ensembl:lncRNA PVT1 Pvt1 oncogene